rnacentral:rRNA from 1 species
UACAGAGGUCUCAAGCGUUGUUCGGAUUCAUUGGGCGUAAAGGGUGCGUAGGCGGCGCGGUGAAGUCGGGUGUGAAAUCUCGGAGCUUAACUCCGAAACUGCAUUCGAUACUGCCGUGCUUGAGGACUGGAGAGGAGACGUGGAAUUUACGGUGUAGCGGUGAAAUGCGUAGAUAUCGUAAGGGAAGACCAGUGGCGAAGGCGGGUCUCGUGGGACAG